AGCAGCCGCGGUAAUUCCAGCUCCAAUAGCGUAUAUUAAAGUUGCUGCAGUUAAAAAGCUCGUAGUUGAAUUUCGGGACCAUCAUGUUGGUCGUGCCUCGGUACGUACUGGCAUUGUUGGUUUCUCCCUUCUGACGAGCCAUGAUGUCAUUUAUUUGGUGUCGUGGGAAAUCAGGACUGUUACUUUGAAAAAAUUAGAGUGUUUAAAGCAGGCUCACGCUUGAAUACAUUAGCAUGGAAUAAUGAAAUAGGACGUUUGAUUCUAUUUUGUUGGUUUCUAGGAUCGACGUAAUGAUUAAUAGGGAUAGUUGGGGGCAUUAGUAUUCAAUUGUCAGAGGUGAAAUUCUUGGAUUUAUUGAAGACUAACUACUGCGAAAGCAUUUGCCAAGGAUGUUUUCAUUAAUCAAGAACGAAAGUUAGGGGAUCGAAGACGAUCAGAUAGCCGUCGUAGUCUUAACCAUAAACUAUGCCGACUAGGGAUCGGAUGAUGUUAAUUUUUUAAUGACUCAUUCGGCGCCUUA
rnacentral:misc_RNA from 1 species